rnacentral:sRNA from 1 species
GGGAGGUGGCCGCAGGGCGCCUGACGCGCUGGGCACAACCUCCGCAGACCCUGAACAUCUACCAGAACCUGAACCGGCGGCAGCACGAGCACGUGAUCCACCUGAUGGACAUCGCCAUCAUCGCCACGGACCUGGCCCUGUACUUCAAGUGCGCGCCUUCCGGGAGGGGGCGCCUCGCGGGGCGGGCGGGAAGCCUGGGACCCCCGGCAGACACGGGGGCGCAGCCCCGGAUUCCGUCCCCGCCCGCCGGCCCCGCACACCCCGGAUGGGGCCUCGCUCCGGCUCCGCGCCUCCCUGCAGACGGGCGCUUGGGGCGGGGUCUCCACACUUGCUCCCACCUGCACCUCCCUUGUUCCCUGGGUUCAGGAAGAGAGCGAUGUUUCAGAAGAUCGUGGAUGAGUCCAAGAACUACGAGGACAAGAAGAGCUGGGUGGAGUACCUGUCCCUGGAGACGACCCGGAAGGAGAUCGUCAUGGCCAUGAUGAUGACAGCCUGCGAUCUGUCUGCCAUCACCAA